AUACAUCUUUUGGUUCUACAUACACUAAAAUUGGAACGAUAUAGAGACGAUUAGCAUGACCCCUGCGCAAGGAUGACGCGCAAAUUCGUGAAACCUUCCAUACCUUU
rfam:Octopus bimaculoides Scaffold57889_contig_332, whole genome shotgun sequence.